UCUGAUGCAAAUGAUGACAUUAUGUCUUGCUGAGUACAACCGGUGAUUCUCAUUUCAAAGUAAACGCACUGAUGCAUCAGGA